AAAGCAAACAUCCAAAAAACUUUGAAAAGGUCAAAUGAUACAAAAUCAGAUACCGAAGAACCACCUUUGCCUGAAUAUGCCAUUGAAGUGGGAAAUCCCACAGGUUUUUUCACAUUGAGUACAAGUUGUUUCCUGAUAUGGAAUCAGUUCACAUCGAUGUGCUUCAUUGGGACGUGAUUUCAAAAAUUUAUUUUGAAUCUAAAAACCUCAUUUAUAAAAAUAUGAUUCGUGAGAAUACGAUUUGGAUUCCAAUUAUGUUGCAAUAUAAAAUUAUGGAGCCAUUGGAAGCAGAAACUUUGUUGAAGUUAAAAAACUUUGUGGUAGAAAUUGUUAUCUCACAAAACACGAAGAAAAUGAGCAAUGACGCAAAGAAUGAAAAAACAAAAAUAUUUUAUAUUAAAAAGAAGAUAUUACUAACGAAUGCUAUGUGGAAGCAUUUGAAAAUGAUCCCUAUUCGAAAGAACAAAUAGUCAGGCGGUCAAUGUUACCACUUAUUUCAAAAAAUACGUGCGAUUUAGUAUGAAACCAAUAUAUUCAAUUACGAAACCUCUUGAUGUUAGUUUAUUACAUUCUCGAUUCCAGAAAAUUAUAAAAAAGUUAGAAAAAGGCGAAACAAUUAAUUGUAAACAAUAUGUCCCUCCUGCUCCUUCACCACUACCAGAAGAAUAUAAUGUGGAACCAGCCGAAAA